AGUGAACGCUGGCGGUAGGCCUAACACAUGCAAGUCGAACGGCAGCACAGUAAGAGCUUGCUCUUACGGGUGGCGAGUGGCGGACGGGUGAGGAAUACAUCGGAAUCUACUUUUUCGUGGGGGAUAACGUAGGGAAACUUACGCUAAUACCGCAUACGACCUACGGGUGAAAGCAGGGGAUCUUCGGACCUUGCGCGAUUGAAUGAGCCGACGUCGGAUUAGCUAGUUGGCGGGUUAAAGGCCCACCAAGGCGACGAUCCGUAGCUGGUCUGAGGGAAUGAUAAGCCAAACUUGAACAGAGACAGGGUCCAGACCACUACGAGAGGAAGCGUUGGGGAAUAUUAGACAAUGGGCGCAAACCUGAUCCAGCCAUACCGCGUGGGUGAAGAAGGCCUUCGGGUUGUAAAGCCCUUUUGUUGGGAAAGAAAAGCAGCAGGUUAAUACCCCGCUGUUCUGACGGUACCCAAAGAAUAAGCACCGGCUAACUUCGUG
rnacentral:rRNA from 1 species